CGAGGUCAGUCCCAGGGCACAGAUCCAUGGGGCUGCCCCGAGCCAGCUCUGAGGAUUGGAUGGGCUUCCCCCAUUGUCUGGGGACCCUGACGAACACCACAGUCAUAAAGCGCCUUUCAUUUUCCUUUCAGGUCUUUUAGCUAAAAUGCCACAAGAAAGGGGACUACGGCCCAGUCCCAGGCUAAGCGCGCUGCACAGCCCCCACUGGGCCUCUGCUUGGCCCAGAUAACUGGAAAACAUUCCAGGAAUCUCAGCAUUGCGGUUUUGUUUCCUCUUGGCUUUGUGAGAGUUUAAGGAAUGUGUAAUUAUUUAUGAAAUGCCAGUGUCCUGGCCACAGAAGCCCCGAUUGAAGAGAGAACCAGGCAGAUGCAGAGCCAUUCUUGGCUGGAGCUUUGAGCCCCACCGACUUUCCCUGCCAUGAUGCUGGGAAUUUCUGCCCCACUCAUGGGCAUCAGAACUCCAAGGUGGAGCAGGACCUAAAUAGACUGUAAAGGGAGGUGGAACCGAGAUCCAUGUGCGUGUUCAGAAUUCAAGUAGGAUGAGGAAGCCAGGGUGCAGAAUGGAGCCGGAUGUGCAAGGUGCUUCGUAAACGGUGCCUUCCGGGCGGGCUCAGCGGUGAACACGGACAGGCCCGCCUUCCUGGAGCUCACGCUAGCAAAGUCAGGAAGAAAACCGCGUGGCCACCUUAGCAAAUGCAGAACAGCAUCUGGGAACAUUCAACAGCCAGUCAUGAAAAGGUUCUCAGCAGGCUAAGCAUAGAAAGGCAUUUCCUUAACUGGACAAAGGGUCUUCAAAAAACCUUCAGCAAAUACAGUACGGCACUAAAUGGCGAGACAGAGAAACUGUCCCCGUCAGACCAGAACACAGUAGACAGGCCUUCUAACAACGCUUCCAUUUAGCAUUCUAAGAGAGGCUAUGGCUGUCACUCAUAGGAGGGAGAGACUGAGAGACAGAGACAGGGUCAGAGAGACAGACAAAGACAGAGAGAAGCAAAGUCAGAGACGUAGGGAAACAGACAGAGAAAUACAGAGAGAGACAUAGAGAAACAGAGAAAGAGAGAAACAGAGACAGAGACAUAGGGAAACAGACAGAGAAAUACAGAGAGAAACAGAGACCAGAGACAUAGGGAAACAGACAGAGACAGAGAAAUACAGAGAAACAGAGAGAGAGACAUAGAGAAACAGAGAGACAGAGAAAGACAGACAGAAGCAGAGACAGAGACAUAGGAAAACAGAGAGACAGAGACAGAGAGAGACAAAGACAGAGAGAGAGACACUCACAGAGGAUAAUGAAACAAUAUCUGGAAUAAAAGAGAAACGUUCUUCACAAAUGGUAUUUGCUGUGGUUAGAAUGUCUCUCCCAAAACUCAUGUUGAAACUUAAUUGCCAUUUUCCAGAUGAGGUGCAGAGUGGAGGCAGACAUGUUAAGAGGUGAGGCCCUCCUGAGGAAUUAACGUGGUUGUCGAGGGAGCUCGAUAACGACUACAGCAGUAUAGUUAUAAGAGUUAGGGAGAAAAUGAACAAAAUGAAAAGAAAAUAACACAGAUAAGAAACAAGAGAUAAACAUAGAA
rnacentral:lncRNA from 1 species